GAUUCACUGAAACAGCACCAUGUGAAUUACAAUUUGAACAACUGGAAACCUCUGGCCUGGCUAGACUGGUGAGGGCGUUCUAGACAGACAGAAAAGUGUGCCUGAAAGGUGGGAAACCAAGGAUUGUUCAGAGGUGCCUAUGGGUGCAUGUGGUGAACAGAUCAGACCUCGGAGAACUUUCCAUGUCCAUUCUCAGAUACCGGUGUCCAAGACAGACACAGCCACUAGGAGGCAACAUUGUUCUUCCCUAGAGAUGGGACACCACACAGUCCCCAGGUAAACGAUACCCCCUGCAGCCUGGUGGAUAGUUCAAGAAAGCUGUUUUGGGGAAUGAAAAAGGACACCCCACCUUCCACCUCAUCCUACCACACUCCCUAUUCCACCGUUCACGCCUGCCCUGGCCUGGUGAAUGCCAAAGCAAUGCUGUAAGAGAGACCCAGGGCUUUAGCCCUCAAUUCAGCCACAUUCAUGAGUCAUGAGUCAUGAGGAACAUGAGUCAUGAGGAACAGUCAUGAGGAACACAUUCAUGAGUCAUGAGGAACAGACGCAGAGCCUCAAUGGGGCCCCAAGUCAGCAAGGGAUGCACCUGCCCCAGCACUUCUGGAAGCUCUGGCACUGUGUUCAGUGCCCUCAUACCCUGGUCACCAAGCCCCAGGAGAUGGUUUUCUACCCAAUUACCAACUGAGACAAACGUGGCAGGACACUACAGCGCUGGGAGCCACAGACCCUGGCCACCAGCCCAGAAGCAGACUCACAGCUCUGACAUUUUCAACAGGUAGAUAGGAGCAGCGAACAGAUUCAAACUCCCUCUCAUCCUCAUCUCUCACCAGCUGGACAACACUGCUGUGCAGGGACAGCGUCUCAGACACAGACGGCAUCUGACCAUCCCCUGACGUCUGAUGUCUUCUCCCCUCCCAGGCCUGAGUGCCUGAUCAUUCCCUCAAGAAUCUUGCAGAAAGGCCAUCUUCCCUGGCUACUCCCAAAUGGAGUUCAAAGCUCCCCUUUUCUGCUACCUUGGUACUCAACAGAACUCAUCAUGUGGGCAUGAGUCUGUCCCUCUUCUUAGAUAAGGAGUUUCCAGACGCUGUGGCCAGGUGUUCUCUCUUUAUCAUCCCAGUGUGCGACAUGGGGCCUGGUUCAUCAUACGUAUCAACACAGUUGGCUAAAUGGAUGGAUGCACAAGGUAGACUGAAUGAAGGACCAUUUCACUAACUUCAUUUGUCUCUCCUAGAGCAGCUGCCACCACCAUCUGUUACAAAACCUUCAAACUGAAAUGUUACUUCAAUUCCUUUCCAACACUUUCUGCCUACCCAAGCCAGGGGAUGCCUCCUUCACAGAGCUGGUCAUCUGUGGGUAGCAGAAGACAAGUGAAUGCACCAUGUCCCUCAGACCUUUGAAGAUAUAGCUUGGGAGUCUUGCUGGGGUAAAGUGGUCCUGGCUCCAUUCCCUGGCUGCUUCAUGUUCCCAAGGGUCAUACAAAGACCCAGAGUCUGAGACUGCAGAAAACCCCAAGACGGCCCUAUCUCCUUCUCCUUGGCUGUCACUCAGAUUCCCACCCAAACCUCCUCCAACUCCAUGACUCUAAACACAGGAUAGACUGAAGCAUUCCCUUCUAGUUCUACUGGUAAAUAUAACUGUCAGAAGAUUUUUCCAAAAGCAGGCAGUGAGAGAAAAAUCAUAAAGGCAGCAAAGUCCUCGUUAGGGAAUAGAAAAGUUGGAUUUGCCACCAAAUGAACCGAGAUGCCCCUACAGUCACCCCAGAAAAUACACCCUGAGUGUAUCGAGAUAGUCAUCUGAGCACUCGCAGAUGUCUCCUUCCCGCUUCCAGAUCCCUAAAGUGACAGGGCAGGGGUUAAAACACAAAGAUCACAGGGUUGAGAACCAAGGAGAGGACCAUCACUGGGCUCCUUUUCUAAAAUCCCUAUGCUAGAUAUAUAACAUUUAUUUAAUAAGAAAAACAGAAACAAUG
rnacentral:lncRNA from 1 species